GCCAGUGUGGUAGUGGUCUGAGCAUUGGACUAUGACUCUGGAGACCAAGGAUCGAAUCCUGGCUCUGCCA
rnacentral:tRNA from 1 species